rnacentral:rRNA from 1 species
UGGGGAAUUUUGGACAAUGGGGGAAACCCUGAUCCAGCCAUCCCGCGUGUGCGAUGAAGGCCUUCGGGUUGUAAAGCCCUUUUGGCAGGAAAGAAACGUCAUGGGUUAAUACCCCGUGAAACUGACGGUACCUGCAGAAUAAGCACCGGCUAACUACGUGCCAGCAGCCGCGGUAAUACGUAGGGUGCAAGCGUUAAUCGGAAUUACUGGGCGUAAAGCGUGCGCAGGCGGUUCGGAAAGAAAGAUGUGAAAUCCCAGAGCUCAACUUUGGAACUGCAUUUUUAACUACCGGGCUAGAGUGUGUCAGAGGGAGGUGGAAUUCCGCGUGUAGCAGUGAAAUGCGUAGAUAUGCGGAGGAACACCGAUGGCGAAGGCAGCCUCCUGGGAUAACACUGACGCUCAUGCAUGAAAGCGUGGGGAGCAAACAGG